GCGCCAGCUAGACCCGCUUCGAAACCGGGUUGAAAAGCCAGACCCCCGCUGGCCUGCUGGUGCAUCCUGAUUCACGG
rnacentral:sRNA from 1 species